rnacentral:rRNA from 1 species
AAAACGGUGGUAAUACCGGAUGCUCCGCUCCAUCGCAUGGUGGGGUGGGAAAUGCUUUUGCGGCAUGGGAUGGGGUCGCGUCCUAUCAGCUUGUUGGCGGGGUGAUGGCCCACCAAGGCGUUGACGGGUAGCCGGCCUGAGAGGGUGACCGGCCACAUUGGGACUGAGAUACGGCCCAGACUCCUACGGGAGGCAGCAGUGGGGAAUAUUGCACAAUGGGCGCAAGCCUGAUGCAGCGACGCCGCGUGCGGGAUGGAGGCCUUCGGGUUGUAAACCGCUUUUGUUCAAGGGCAAGGCACGGUUUCGGCCGUGUUGAGUGGAUUGUUCGAAUAAGCACCGGCUAACUACGUGCCAGCAGCCGCGGUAAUACGUAGGGUGCGAGCGUUAUCCGGAUUUAUUGGGCGUAAAGGGCUCGUAGGCGGUUCGUCGCGUCCGGUGUGAAAGUCCAUCGCCUAACGGUGGAUCUGCGCCGGGUACGGGCGGGCUGGAGUGCGGUAGGGGAGACUGGAAUUCCCGGUGUAACGGUGGAAUGUGUAGAUAUCGGAA